AAGGCAAAGCGUGUAUGAAUUUUAUAGCUUGUGCUCUGUGGCAAAGCAACUUUGAAAGAUUUAGGCUUUCUCAAGGAAAACAUUAAUUGAUUCCUGACAAAUCAAGUUUUAUUUCUCAUUUUUAGAGUUCUUUUGUGUUUGAUUUGUACUACAAAAGAGUUUUUGAGCUAAAGUGCAGCAUGUGCUCCAGUAGCUAUGCCCUUCCUGGGAACAUAUUCCUGGUCAGUGCAGAAUGAACACAGCUCCUCUUGUCAGCCUGAUGAUUAGUUUCUGCUAGAAGCAGAAGCGUCUGAAGAGGCAGGAAGUGCUUGUUUUGCAGAACUAAUUGAAACUGAAUGUGGAAUGUGGCUGCAGAGAAAACUAAAAAUGUUCUUUCUAUAUUUGGAAUCCUCAUGUGUUGCCACCUGUGAAUAUCUGCAGAUAUCUGAUAUUUGGAGUUAGCAGUAGGGCUGCAUUCUGAGUAUUGCUUUGGUUUGUCUAAAGCUGACUUAGAAUGGAGCACUCAGUGGUACUGUGCGAAUGUGAGCCCCAGUAAAUAUGGAGAGAGCUGUUUGUCUCAAAGAAUGGCUUGUGGAAUGCUCCAUGCUAAUGUAGUAAAGAGUUGGUAAAUUAGAGAACAAAUGUUUAAGCCAAUGAAAAAGAAGGCAGGGAACAGAAAAGAUUCCUUGUAGCAACUGUGAAUUGAGGGUAUUAAUGUUUGGGUAAAGUAUGAGUAGUCUCAUGAGGUUGCUGUGUGCUCUAUUAACAAGCCUGAAAAAGAGGAUUUUUAUUUUUGUUUUGCUUUGUUUUUUGAGAAAUUGAUGAAGUUUUGAGAAAAAGAGGAAUUCAAGAGGGAGAAUUGUUAGCCAGUCUUGAAGAAGUGCUUGCUGAUCAGGCGGUUUAUCCAGUGCAACUAAGUUACAUCUGUGUGUAACUCUGCUUAAAACAUUCUCCUUUAAAAGAAGCCCAAGCUCUUACAGAAACAACAGUAGGUAAAAGUAAAAUGUGAAAACAAAAGCACUUGGGCUGGACCUGGUCCAUAUAUUCGUACUUCAGAAUUGCAAAUGAGUAAGGAACGUACCGAUUUGGCAAACAGAAGACUGGUGUGUGCAUUUCUCUUCUUUAGUCUCCAGAGUUUAUGAAUUUCUUGUUUAAAUAAUAAUAUCGUGCUGCGUAGAAUUGAGUUGAUGCAGCAUAACUAGGGAAGCUGGAUUAGGCAACAAAUUUAUAUGCAGAUGUCCUUCGAGCCUCCAGAUAGGUCACGAUGGGAAUACACAGUCCUUUCAGGGAAUGAGAUUACAAUGCCACCUAAUGAAUCCCCAGAUUUAAAUUAAAUUAUUCCAACUUAGUCUACUUGUAUGGAUAGAACAAGUUAAACUACCACUUAUUAAAUAAUAAUAAAAAAUCCCAUGAUGGACCAUCUAUUAUUGAGAGCAGCUGGAAAUUCUGCUACAUGUGACCAAAGUCUAUGAAAUUACAAAUUAUUAUAUUGAAACACUGUCUUACUUACAAUUUUCUUUUUUCCCCACAGGCUGUUCUCUUAAUAUUUGAGUCAUCAAAAUUCACCGUCAGAAGCUGAAACAGCAAAACAGCUCUUUAAGCCCUUGUGCCUUUGAGUAGAGGCAGAUUUUUGAGGCUUUUUUUUUUUUUUUUGUCCUCUUCAUCCUUGAUUUUAUGAACUUCACAGCUGAGAAACUGUCAGGCUCUAGCUAUAUUGUUGUACUGCAUCAAAGAUUCAGUGUGAUGAUUCCCGUCAGUCCCUUGGCUUGUGAAGAACAAAGGCUUUACAAUGGCCUCCUGCUGUAUUUGCUUCAGCACUAUGAGAUGCUUUUUGUUGAUGUGAACCCUUAUUUCUCACCAAGACAAGCAGAUGGCCUCCAGUAGCAAGAGGAAAUUGGAAAUGUCUUGGAAAAGCCAAGAGACUUGGCAUUCUAUUUCAAUGACUGUUUUAGAAGGAACUUCACUCCCUGUAAUUCUGCAGAAUGUCACAGUCUGUCUGGGCUUGUGGUGAUGUGGGAAAGAAGUAUUGUGAAAAAAAUCCUUUCAAGUUCUUUAAUAAAAGUCCAGAUGAAGCAUAGCCACGAGGCACUCUCCUGCUCUGAGGUAAGCUUAUGAAAGAAAUCCCAUCUGUGGUGAGAAGGGAAUUUAGAAUUCUGUGGUUGAUCUUUCUUUUGUAAUUUCUGGCAGGAAAUCCAGCAUAUUGGAUAGGUACUCUUCAUCUUUCAUAAUAUAACAAUUGCUAAAAGUCCACUAAAUGAGAAACAUGAAAGUUAGGUUUACAAAGUAAACACAGUCAACGUGCAUGAACUAGUUCCAGCAAAGCAAGCAAAAAGUGAAAUGGCAAACGUGGCUCAGAUCCCUUGUUGCUUCCUGAAAAUGAAACUUGCUUUUAUUGGCUGUUUCUCCUGAAGUAACUUGAAGCAGUUACACUGAUGUUCGCAUUUUCAGCUAUUUAAUUUGAGGGAUCUUUUUAUUGCUGUUGGGGUGCACUUUUUGUAGAAAAUUAUGCCAUGUAAGUGAAUUAAAUUAUAAAUCAAACCUUGCUAGUAGUGAUUUGUCAUACUCUUUCAUCAUUAUUUCCAAAUCUUAUGUUCUGGGUUAAGAAACGACUGGACCGAUUAUUUAUUUAUUUAUUUAUUUAUUUAUUUGGCAUGGAGUUUUAGAGUGCUUUUUCAUAUCUCAUCUCUGUGCUGAAGCAUGAUAGAUAAAUCCUUCCUGAACUAAGCAAACAGAAGCACGACUUUUUUGGUGUGUGCAUACCACUGCAUCCCAUCCUUCAGUUAAUUAAAAGAAAAGCUAAAACCCUGAGGAAAUAACUCUCAUUUUUUGUUUUCUCUUCUUCCUGUGACCUUUACGUGUGCUUCCCUUUUUAUCAGCAAGGCUGCAGAGACUAUGUUGUUAUUCUCUGCAAUAGUGGAGCCCUACUGAAAAGUGAUUACAGAGAGCCAUUGCUGGGAGAGGGGAGCUGAACUCUCUUUCAGUCCUUCAGAAAGACCACAGACACCUCAGAGUGGAUUUCUGAAAGUGUACCAUGAGGUUUGAGUUGGUCUGCUUACUGCAGCUAAAUAUUUUAUGGAGAAUUUAUCUGUUUGACUUACAGUUUUAUUGAGAUGGUUCUUUGUGGUUUAGGGAGUUUUGUUAGUAUCAGGUUUUUAGCAUUUUUCAAUGAGGAUUGUGGAUGUUUCCACAUUAACCAACUUGUUUAAAAAAAAGAAAAAUCGAUGCUUCACUUUUGUUUGAAGUUGAUAUAAAAAAAGAUUUGCAGUUUUCCAAGUGGGCUGUCCUCAAUUUCAAGGACAGCUCAUAAUUUAAAUGAUGUUUUCCUUCGCUAAUCCCAUGAUAAUGCUUUUGAAAUUAGUUGAAAACUUUCAAAAAACAAAACAAAACAAAACAAAACAAAUGUGAUCUUAAGAGUUAGUAAACUCAAGCUUCCAGGUUAGACUAAAGCAUCCUGCCAGUGUAAUUUUUCAUGGAUAGAGUCUCAUAGUUCCGAUUCAUAUUUGUGGGUUUAGCAUUUUUUUCUAACUGAUACAAUCCUGAUUAUUUUCUUUCACAUAAGUUCUCUGCAUUGCAAAGAUAACUUCUAGUUGAGUUGUGAACAUAGCGAGUUCUGUGUGUAGCAUUUGAACUGCCAAGAGAUUUUUCAGUGCUUCUGUAGGGCUUGCUGUUAUGUUAUAGAAAGAUUUCUUUAUAUUACUUCCCAUUCCACAGGAAAAGUAUUUUUUCUGACCUUUGUAAAUUUUGUGGAAGCAUGGGCUCAUUAAACAUUAAGUUCUAAGUUUGAGUCUGGGAGCUGUCCAAACCAGAAGACUGGAUUAAAAAUGCCGCACAUUGAGAAUCAGAGCAGGACUUGGAUCUCCACAGAAAUUAUGGGUAAUAUAUUGUGAAAAUGUUUUUUUUUUUUUUUCUUCUGAAUAAACAAAGAAAAAUAUUUUACUGACUGCAAGCAUAAGGAUUUGAUAAAGAGCACUGUAUUAGGCAGUUGUAACUUAAAAAGACUUACUGGAGGUAGCUGGAAUAUUCAGUACACAUUCUAGGUCUUCAAUGGCAAAGCCUUCCCAUUGAUAGGUGAAGAGCAGAGGGGAUAUGGUAAUGUGUGAUGUUAUUUCUGAGCCGUGCCUAUGGUCUUCAGUAGACCUGCCUUUGUGGUGGAGGUCUGUAAGUCUGAAAUGACGAAUGUGCCUGGUUUCUGUUUUUAGCAAACUACAAGGUGUGGAGUGAAUGUGACACAUUUAAUGCUUGCUCCAACAUUGUUGGGGCUUUCUGCUGCCUUACUGUAUGAGUGCUGUCACACUUAAAUAUUUUCUGUGAUUUAGUGGAUUUUGCCACUACCUCCCUGCUCCCUGUCACAUCUAGACAAUGUUAUUUCCAUUUUUCUUUGGCUGGUGAAAGUUGUGCUAGGAGAGAAUAGGGGUAGGAGAAGGCGUGUUCUGCAGGCUUUGAAGCACACUCUUAGCUGCGCUUUACUUCAGCAAGUGACUUGAACAUGAAGAGAGAAGCCAGUUACAUUGAAGUCCUAUGAUUCUUUAAUGUGAUGAAUAAUUCAGAAAUAGUGCUCAAGUGGAUUGCACAAGCUGAUGACAUUGAUCACCAUCAGCCAUUCAAUAAUGGCAUAAAGAAUGUGAGUGGGAAAGGUCUUUCUAAAACUGAUUGCUGACAUAUGCCUUUCCUGAAUUGGAAAAACACUGAGAGGUGAUAUGCUGUACAGAAACAAACUAAGCAGUAAUGGAGAAUUACCUUUGUUACCUCUCAGUGUGUGAAUGCCUGUUUCCAGUUUUGCUGUGAACAGAGCAUCUUGAAAGCUCCUACCAAGCCAGACUUGCAAACCGUAUGUUGAUUACAGAUUGAAGAGUCUUAUUUGCAGUUCACAACGGAGAGAAAUAUCUGAUGUGUUUAGAAUGGCAGGUGGUUGUCUUGCUUAUCAAGGCCAGCUGCAACACAGGGAAGAGACUCAAUUAAUAUAGUGUACACGUUAGGAUAACACAAAGUUCUACUUUCAGAGGACCAUGCGGCCUUCCUCUGACGUUUAUUAAAAUUUACUGCACUUGUGGCUUGAGAAGACUUGAGGCUCAGAGAUCCAUCUCAAGUUUGCAGCAACAUUUUCUUCCACUUGGUGUCAGCAUUGUUCUCCCUGGCUCCUGAGCUGUAUUUCCUUUAAACAUAACCCUUUAAUACGUUCUGAGCACCUAUCUUAAAAGUACAUAUUAAAUUUCUAUUUCUGUAACAUAUCAGCAGACCAUCCUGUUCCUUCCUCAGAUAAUUACUGAUGUCAGAGAAGCAUGAAGGAAGGGUAUGAACUCACCUCCAAAUCACUGUGAAACACAACUCUUUUUCAUUUUAUGUUCAUGUCACCUUCUUUAACUCGGCAAGACUACCAAUAAAGCCUGUUAUCACUUUUGUAUUCAUUUUCUUUGGUGAACAAGAGCAACUUGAUUUGUUCCACACAUACCGAUGAUGAGGGUGUUUUGAGAAAACAUUGGAGGUGAAAUCUUUCAUAGGAAACUCCUCCCUUGGGAAAUUAAAAGUAUUUUUAUUGAAAGACUUGUGAUAUGUAAGCAUCAAAACAUUUCAGUCUUUUUCUUUUUUUUCUUUUUUUUUGCUGUUAUUGUAGUAAAAAAAAUUGACAUUUCUUUUAAACUUUUCGUGGCUUUUCAGUUUAUAUUAGGGUAAGGUUGGGAAAGGAAAAUGUUUUCAGAGAAGCAGAUGACAUGUAAAAUAAAACCCUUAAAAUAUCCACUGUUACGGAUAUUUUCACUGGAAUGAAAAAAAAGAUCCUGUUUUUCAUUUUUCUGUAGUUUUCAUAGAGAGUUGGGCUUUCUGCUAUGCAGCAGUGAAUUUAAUAGAUGUUUUCUAGAAUGCAGUGCUCCCUCCCUUCUGCCCCAAAUUCUUAGACCACUUUUUUCAUCUUUAGUGGGUUUUUCAUCUACCCUAGCAAGUAUGCAAACAUGCUGAAGUACUUAACAUCACUUUGCCAGAAGAAUAUGCCGGCACUUAUCACAGUUGCAAGAAGAAAAGCUUGGCUGAAUCUUGAAAGCGUAUCAGUGUGUUAUAGCCUAAUGCAGUUUCACUCCCAACUUAUUUGGAUUUUUACUGUAGAGCAGUCUCUGUGGUAUUUAAUUUCUUUGCUUCAAGUGAAAAAGGAAAUGUGUAUUCAUGAGUCAGCACUGCUAUUAAAUAGUUUCCAGAGCUAUCAAACUAAAGACUAGGUACUUUCUUAUUUUGCUAUGAAAAAGGAAAGAUGUAAAAUGUGCUUAUAAGGAGAACACAAAUGCAGCUGAGCAGAAAAUAUGAAAAACCAGAUGAAAUGUAUGGCUUGAAAUGUAGGCCACAGAUGAGUAUACCUUUCCUUACUGGGUAGAGUCCUUAAUACUGUCUGACUUUGUUCUCACAAGUGGCAUAACUGUGCUGUGGGAUGACUGUAUUAAAGGGUGCUGGUCAGUACUGCAUUUUUUUGGUAAAUUGUUGAAGAGUUAAAUACUUGAUGAGGGGUUGCAGCAGCACAAGGCAGCAUUACUUCCAGUAUGUGACUGGAGCUUUACCUGGGAGUUGCUAGUGUCACUGGCUGUACACAAAAGCAGAGUUAGGAGCUCAGGUUUUGGUUAAUUUUGGAGAGCCCUAUGCCAGCAUCCAGGUUUUGGGAUCUUGGUUUUGCCCCUCCAUCAUGGAACCAGGCCAAGCCAGGCUGAACUGUGACAGAGCUGAGCUAUGCAAGUUAAGUAUUGGGGAUCCAAGUAGAGGAGAACAAAUGGUAUCCUAGAUUCUUUAGGAUUUUGGGUUUUUUUUCCCCAUUUUUAUACACUGAAAUUAAGAAAUCUAUUACCAUUUAAAAAAGAAAAAAAGAAAAAAAAAAGUUGGGGAAAAAAGAACCCAUUAUGUACAUUUGCAUUUAUGUGAUAGCUUUAGGAUUUUAAAAAAGUUAUGCUGAAGAUCAAGGGAGCAAGGGAAGAAAUUGCAACUUAGCACUUCAGUUGAUAUUAUUUCAGUUGUUAGCUUUUUAACGCUUUUUUCAAACAUCAGAAUUGUGUGGAUAGCUUUCACAGAGUCACAGAAUAUCCCAUGUUGGAAGGGGAUCAAAUACAACUUGAUAUUUUGAGCUACCUAAUCUUUUUUACCACCAUUAGGAGAGGGCUAUGCCACAAUAAUAAAUGGUGAGUUGAAUUUAUGCAGCACACUGUAACUCAAAGCCAUACAAUACUUCUAAAAAUGUUUGUCUUUUGCAUAUUUUCACUAGGAAAGCAUAGCAAGCAAUCUACCACCUCAGUGCAAGGAAUGAUGGAUGAAAUUAUUUCCUUGGCUACUUUACUUUUCUUUCAACUCUUCCUUUCAUGUCCUUGAAGUUUCAUCUAAGCAAAUUCUUAGCUAUUUUACUAACCAUAUUCAUUAACUCUUUCCAUGUUUAAACAGAAUAUUGGCUGGGGUGGACAAAAGGGGAAGAGAAAGAUAAAACUGCAUUCAAGGUUAAUAUUAAAUGGGCUAUAGAACAAUGCAGUCAACCUGUCUCUGCGUAAUUUUUUUUUGCAAUCAAUAGGGGCAACUCAUGUAAGAAGUUGAGCAACUCGUGAAAGCUGCUGCUGGAACAUCAAGCUGUUGUCUUGAAAGUGUCUGCCAGUGCCUGCAGCUUAUUCCUUCCCUGCUAUUUCAAGGCUUCAAGAUAUGCUUGGAAUGAAAAACACUUUGAAGAUUCAAGUCAAAGUGUCAAGCUCAAUGCCAUUGUUGAAUAGCACCAAUACUUAAGCUCCUUGUUUACUACAGGCCUCUCUUGCUUCACUUCUGAAAACAUCAAAUACGGACUGCAACCUUGAAAAGGAGCUGGACACAAGUGGUGCGCCCUGUAAUCUAUUCAAAGCCUCUUGUAUUGUAACAUUUCUGUUUCUUUGAAAUACAAAACCACAGGUCUGUUUUUUGGUUUCUAAUUUUUGGUGGAUUAUGUUUCUGGGAAUUGUCAAACAAUUUACACUGAGGUUUUCUUUGUUUGUUUUGAGAAACUGUAAGUGCUGUCUUUAGUUUUGUUCUGUUUUUCUUCUCUUGGUAAUAUAUAAGGCUUUCGUUUUAUGUUUGUAUUAUCAACACAUUGCUUGAGAAUGCGUUUACGUUAAUAGUUCUGGAUAGCAAAUUACCAAAGGAAAUACUACAUGCUAUAAUGCUGUUGUUAUGUACAAUGUAUACUAUGUUUAUAUUCUAUGCUAAUUAUACUAUUCCUUUUACAAUAUAGUAAUUUAUUAGUAAUUGCAGUGAAUUGUUAGUUUUUAACACUUUGAAAACUAAGUAAAACCACCUCUAGGUGAUUUUACUUUCCCCCUCCCUC